rnacentral:rRNA from 1 species
UACGUAGGCAGCAAGCGUUGUUCGGAAUUACUGGGCGUAAAGAGUGUGUAGGCGGUGCUCUAAGUUCGGUGUGAAAUCUCCUGGCUCAACUGGGAGGGUGCGCCGGAAACUGGGGUGCUGGAGCGCGGGAGAGGGAUGCGGAAUUCCAGGUGUAGCGGUGAAAUGCGUAGAUAUCUGGAGGAACACCGGUGGCGAAGGCGGCAUCCUGGACCGAUAUUGACGCUGAGGAGCGAAAGCCAGGGGAGCAAACGGGG